CGGGCAGUAGCUCACUGGUAGAGCUCCCGCUUCGUUUUCGGGAAGAGCUGGGUUCGACUCCCGGUUGCUCAC
rnacentral:tRNA from 1 species